rnacentral:rRNA from 1 species
GUCUAUGGCCAUGCUACCCUGAAUAAGCCCGAUCUGGUCUGAUCUCAGAAGCUAAGCAGGGUCAGGCCUGGUUAGUACUUGGAUGGAAGACCACCUAGGAAGACCAGGUACUGUAGGUG